GGGAAUGUGGCUUAGUGGUAGAGUGUUUGCCUAGCAUGCAGGAAGCCCUGAGUUCAAUUACUCAGUGCCA
rnacentral:tRNA from 1 species